CUCUAUCUCUCAUUUUUCCCACAACUCUCCUGAGUAGUAUUACUCUGCAGAAAUCUCGCCGAAGUUAGCACCACCGAACCGCCGUCCACCCUCUCCCGUAACCGAGCCGACCAAGCCAACGGAAAGCUUAGUCGAAGGGUACCAUCGGAUUCGUGACGACGAGACGAAGCCGGAGACACCGAGCGCUGCCACCGCCGACGAGCCACACGCCGCCACGCGCCGGAAGAAGGAAGCGCGUGACGCCCACGCGCAGCCACGCGCCGCCGAGUCCUCGGAGCGUGGAGCUCACGCGCCGCCGCCGGUGACCGGAACCGCCGCUGUUCGCCAGAGCCGCCGUGACCGGCAGCCGUCCGUUCGCCGCCGGGAUUCCGCCGCCGCGUCGUCGCCGGACCGCCGUCGCCGCCAGUGACUUUUCUGGUAAGGUUCGCCGGAUUUGUUGCCGCCGACCGGUUUGGGUUAACCGGUCGGUUUAAAUUGAUUUAAUCCGGUUGAAAUCGAUUUGGUCUUGGUUUAGGUUAACCGGUUGGUUUAAAUCAAUUGAUUCUCGGUUUAGGAUAACCGUUCGGUUUAAAUCAAUUGGUUCUCGGUUAAAGUUAACCGGUCGGUUUAAAUCAAUUGAUUUCUGGUUUAAGUUAACCGGAUCGAUUUGACUGGUUGGACCGUUGACCGUUGACUGUUGACCGUUGACUUUGACCGUUGACCGUUGACUUUGACCAGUUGACCCGAAAACCGUUUUUCUUCGUUCGGACGCCGUUUGACUCGAUUUUUCGUUCCGGUUUCAGAUCCGGAGUCGGUUUAUUCAUUCGAGGUCCAGAAGUCGUAGGUUCAGCAUUGCUAAGAUCCGGAGUCGGUUUAUUCAUUCGAGGUCCAGAAGUCGUAGGUUCAGCAUUGCUAAGGUGAGGGCUAUUUCCAAACCGCUGUGCUUUGUUCGAGAAUCCUAAUUUACGAAUAGUGCAGCACUGAAUGUGAUGUGUUUCAAUGAUCGAGUCUAGUUAGUUUGAUUGCUUAAAUUGGACAUAGGAAGAUAGAUGAUUAAACCCAUUUGUUUGUCACAUACUGUUAAAUGUUUUUUUGUUAUAAAUAUAUAUAUAUAUAUAUAUAUAUUAUAUGAGAUAUAGCGGAUACAGAUAAAGGAACUUCUGUAUGGUGCCGCAUUGUUUGAGGUAGGGGUGAGGGCAAUGCAUAAUCGAUCUGUUGCCCUCCACCUUAAGAUCGAUAAGCGUCCCAGGGGCGGUGUGAGUGGGCACUAUCCCAUGAGUUACCUCUGUGUGAGGGUGUGAUUGGGCACUAUCCCAUAAAUGAUCUCGUUGAGGGUGUGAUUGGCCACUAUCCCUCCGUAGGAAAAUUGUAUGUUGAUUGAGCACUGUAGGUGCUGUGUUUGCUCAUAUUUUGUACUCCAUUAUUUUGCGAUUAGUUUUCUUGGCUGAGUCAGUGACAUGCGGACUUAGCAUCCCAUACCUCACUGAGCGACUCCCCUGUUGCUCACCCCUCUUUCCCCAUUUCAGGUGAGCCAGACGAGUAGUUAUGACUUGAUGAGUUGGGAUGUGUCAUUUUGGGAUGGAUUAUCGUUUUCAGUAUUCUAUUCGAGACUUUUAUUAAACAGUCGUGUUAUCGACUUAUGUGGAUUUAGUAUGUUUUAUCGGAUUUUUGCGCUGGUAUUUUAUAAAGAACUGGAUGUUUAUGGAAAAA